GUCUACGGCCAUGCCACCCUGAACACGCACAAUCCCGUCUGAUCUUGGAAGCUAAGCAGGGUUGGACCUGGUUAGUACUUGGAUGGGAGACCACUAGGAAGACCAGAUGCUAUAGGCA
rnacentral:rRNA from 1 species